ACUUACAAACAGCUAAAAUCAUAAAAUUUAUUGGAACAAUACAAAGAAAAUUAGCAUGGCCCCUGUGCAAGGAUGACAUACAAAUUCGUGAAGCAUUCCAUAUUAAA